UGGAGAAGACAAAAUUUAUAAUGUUUAUGAUCAAGCCUGGAGAGGUGGUAAAUAAUGAUAUGGCCCAGAGUAUUUAUAAGUCCAGUAAAAAUCUGGACAAGGAUAUAUAUGGUGAUGACCUAGAAGCCAGAAUAAAGACCAACAGAUAUCAAGCCGUAUAACUCCGUUUCAGUGUUUACACCAGUGAAAACAAAGUAGUUCAGACUCUUCUCUCUUGUUCCCUAGAUUUGUUCCCGACAAGUUUUCUGGUUCAGACCACAGGCAGAGAGGCCGAGAGGAUGAGAAGGACCAGUUCAGUUUGAGGAAGAUCCUUUUGGUUUGGACAAGUUUUGGAAGAAGCCAGACAGCUUGGUGGCUCUCAAAGACCCUCAGCAGCAGCCCCAAAGAACAUGAGCAUGAAGGCAAGAAGAGGAGGAAGGAGUAGACACACAUCUCUUCAAAGCAAAUGAACUCUGAUUAUCCAUAACCCUAAUGACGCAAGUGCUAUGGGGCAACACUUUCAUUCAUAGAACAUGCUGGCCCACAUCCACAAUCAAGAUCACUGCCUUUUGUGUGACACGUAGUUCGCGUUAAUAUUUUGUGUAAGAACAGCUGCUUAUGAGUCAAGUCGUCCCAACUGCAGUGAGGUGGAGGAUGUUCACAUGUUGGAACUGUCCUGCCAAAUAAAUGUGGCCCCUGUUGCGCUGUGUUUUAAUUUGGAGUGGGGAAAAGAAGCUCUUGCUUUGUUUCAAAUAAAAACCUUUAGACAAAA